GUCGACGGUAACAGGUCUUCGGAUGCUGACGAGUGGCGGACGGGUGAGUAAUGCGUAGGAAUCUGUCUUUGAGUGGGGGACAACCCAGGGAAACUUGGGCUAAUACCGCAUAAGCCCUGAGGGGGAAAGCGGGGGAUCUUCGGACCUCGCGCUGGAAGAGGAGCCUACGUCUGAUUAGCUAGUUGGUAGGGUAAAGGCCUACCAAGGCGACGAUCGGUAGCUGGUCUGAGAGGACGACCAGCCACACUGGGACUGAGACACGGCCCAGACUCCUACGGGAGGCAGCAGUGGGGAAUUUUUCGCAAUGGGGGCAACCCUGACGAAGCAAUGCCGCGUGAAUGAAGAAGGCCUUCGGGUUGUAAAGUUCUUUCGUGGAGGACGAAAAGGUGGGUGCUAAUAUCGCCUGCUGUUGACGUGAAUCCAAGAAGAAGCACCGGCUAACUCCGUGCCAGCAGCCGCGGUAAUUCAAGGGC
rnacentral:rRNA from 1 species